GAGAAGGGCAGUAAGGCGGAAGCCUAGAGUCUACAUUCAGCACCAAAGCCUGCACCAUAGCAGAGAACAAUGAUGAAUGCAAGGUAUAUUAUCUAGAAAAUAUAUCGCUUCAACCUAAUGAUCCAUGAUGGUGUCAGCUCGAUUUGAUUCUGAAGGCUUCCUUUGCUCAAUAUAGGGAUUGUGACAUGUUUGGGUGGUCUGCAAUGUGGACUUGUACAUUUCAAGGAAUGCAAGGUAUAUUAUCUAGAAAUAGAUCGCUUCAACCCG